UAGCUGUUCUGAGAGGAAGAUCAGCCACACUGGGACUGAGACACGGCCCAGACUCCUACGGGAGGCAGCAGUGGGGGAAUAUUGCACAAUGGGGGAAACCCUGAUGCAGCCAUGCCGCGUGUGUGAAGAAGGCCUUCGGGUUGUAAAGCACUUUCAGUUGUGAGGAAAAGUUAGUAGUUAAUACCUGCCAGCCGUGACGUUAACAACAGAAGAAGCACCGGCUAACUCCGUGCCAGCAGCCGCGGUAAUACGGAGGGUGCGAGCGUUAAUCGGAAUUACUGGGCGUAAAGCGCACGCAGGCGGUUUGUUAAGCUAGAUGUGAAAGCCCCGAGCUCAACUUGGGAUGGUCAUUUAGAACUGGCAGACUAGAGUCUUGGAGAGGGGAGUGGAAUUCCAGGUGUAGCGGUGAAAUGCGUAGAUAUCUGGAGGAACAUCAGUGGCGAAGGCGACUCCCUGGCCAAAGACUGACGCUCAUGUGCGAAAGUGUGGGUAGCGAACAGGAUUAGAUACCCUGGUAGUCCACACCGUAAACGCUGUCUACUAGCUGUGUGUGCCUUUAAGGCUGUGCGUAGCGAAGCUAACGCGAUAAGUAGACCGCCUGGGGAGUACGGCCGCAAGGUUAAAACUCAAAUGAAUUGACGGGGGCCCGCACAAGCGGUGGAGCAUGUGGUUUAAUUCGAUGCAACGCGAAGAACCUUACCUACACUU
rnacentral:rRNA from 1 species